CUGGCGGCGUGCCUAAUACAUGCAAGUCGAACGGUCUUUUCUAUGGAAGCUUGCUUCCACUGAGAAGAUAGUGGCGAACGGGUGAGUAACACGUGGGUAACCUGCCCAUAAGAGGGGGAUAACAUCCGGAAACGGGUGCUAAUACCGCAUAGUUUUCUUGAUCGCAUGAUUGAGAAAGGAAAGACGGCCUUUGUGCUGUCGCUUAUGGAUGGACCCGUGGCGUAUUAGUUAGUUGGUGAGGUAACGGAUCACCAAGACGAUGAUACGUAGCCGACCUGAGAGGGUGAUCGGCCACAUUGGGACUGAGACACGGCCCAAACUCCUACGGGAGGCAGCAGUAGGGAAUCUUCCGCAAUGGACGAAAGUCUGACGGAGCAACGCCGCGUGAGUGAAGAAAGGUUUUCGGAUCGUAAAACUCUGUUGUCAGAGAAGAACAAGUUGGAGAGUAACUGCUCCAGCCUUGACGGUAUCUGACCAGAAAGCCACGGCUAACUACGUGCCAGCCGCAGC
rnacentral:rRNA from 1 species